rnacentral:rRNA from 1 species
CCUACGGGAGGCAGCAGUGGGGAAUAUUGCACAAUGGGCGAAAGCCUGAUGCAGCAACGCCGCGUGAGCGAUGAAGGCCUUCGGGUCGUAAAGCUCUGUCUUCGCUGACGAUAAUGACGGUAAGCGAGGAGGAAGCCACGGCUAACUACGUGCCAGCAGCCGCGGUAAU